rnacentral:misc_RNA from 1 species
AAGAGACGUUGCCCUUCGGGGUAUACCUCUCACCCUUUGUUUAUUAUACCUUUGUUGCUUUGGCGGGCCCGUCCUCGGACCACCGGCUUCUGCUGGUCAGUGCCCGCCAGAGGACCUAAAACUCUGUUUGUUAAUAUUGUCUGAGUACUAUAUAAUAGUUA